ensembl:lncRNA
AGUACUGAGAGACUGCUGCUCCAUGUCACUUUGAAUUGCUGUUUUAUAUGGUAUCAUGUUUGAUCUAAUCACUUCUUAGAUACCAGGACAAUCAUAUAUCCCUGAAGGUUUUUUUCAGACAGACUAAGAGGUGUCAUUUACAUCCUCAAUUCAUUGUGACUGAAGGAAUCUCUUUUGAGAGAUAUUCUCUGCCAGGAGAAAUCCUUCAAGGGGAUUCUUCAAGAAUGAGCUGAAAGGAGACUUAAAUACACAGCAAAGGUCUGACAGUGCUCUUGCAAGGGAAUAGUGAACUGAGAAAAGUGCAACAGCGAGUGCACUGAUCCUGUCUUCUCCUAUCUUUCUAGAAAGAAGGUAAGUGGUUUGGGCUUUGCAUUGUCCUUUACAGAAUAACAUCCACAAUGAACCAUCUGGGUUUUGCUUUCAAGUUAACCUGCGAGGACUUCUAAGGCCGCAGUAUCAUUUCUGACUUACAUGCUUUCCAAAGAAAACAUGGUUAGAAAAUGAAAGCAUUCAGCAGGUAGAGCAGAGCUUACAAGGCUUUUUCUCUUUCUGGGAGUGAAAAAAACAACUUCUAUUAGAAGUCAAUGCAAAAACAGUAGCAGGACAGUACCUCAGUGUCUUCGAUAUAAGGUGAUAAAAGUCAUACAAACCAUAUUUGACAAUCUGGAGUAAUUACCUUCUGGGUUCAGUGCUAACAUUGGUUCAAGAUAUCUUUUAAAGUCAAAGCUGAUCAAAGUCAGACACAAGUUGUAAAACGUGAUUACUUGAAAAUCUGAUGCCACAUUUUACAGCAAUCUUUGAAGAGUGGUUGCAGUGUACCUGGUGUUUCAUCCCCUCUGGAUACAUCCACCUUGUACCCAGGAGUAAAGUCCUCUCUAAGAAGUGCAUCGCUUUUGUUCAUAGACAAUCUGAUUAAGGAAAUGAUUUCUAAAAAAAAUGUGAGGUACAUGUCACAUUUUUGUCUCUAUUAGAAAAUGUCCUGUAAUAUCAACAGUGGGUCCAUUAUUAUAAUCAUUCUGUAAUGAGGGACUUGCUAUAGAGAUUCAUUAAGAGGAAAAACAAAAUUAGUCCAGUAGUGUCUGCUCAUUGUGAACAUGUAUCUAUUCUACAAAGAAGAAAAUACCCUAAAGAAAACUCUUAAAAAGUGGUUAAUUAACACAUAAGCCACAAAUGUCGGAGUAUCGUAAAUAUUCAAAUAGUGAUGGAUAGUGGGAUAAACCCUGAGUGCAUGCCAUAAGUUUUUUUAUCUCCAUAGAUAUCUUGAGUUGGAUAUUUACAGUAAAUUACAGCUGCACAUGCUUUACUCCAGAGCCAUAUGUUUUAUUAUUCAACCAGAUGUAAGCCAUAAAACUGUUUUAUCUAUUUUGUGGUUCAGCCUAGUACUAAUAAAAUAAACUACAAAUACCUGACUUAAAGCUUUGUUGGCAUUUUUGCACUUCAGUGAAGUGCAGUGCCAACGCCUCAUGCAGCGAAAGUGAUCUAAGAAAAUCAUUUGUUCUUCCCAUUUCUUAAACUUUCACAAGGACCUAAAAUAUUUGAAUGAACAGCUAUAACUUGUUCUUUUAUUGUUUUUCAUCAAAUGGACUAUCACCGUCACUGAUAGUUCAUGUAUGCUUCCUGCUGAUUGUAAAGGACAUUGCAAGGGGCCUGUAUUUUACCUAAGCAUUGACAUCACUGAUAUUCCUUAAAUGUUCCUUAAGGGUAGCAUCAAAUUGCAAAAAUAAUCAUCUAACCUAGAAAGGAAGUAUUUAGUUAUAUAAAAGAAAGAUAAUAUUGCAGCUAACAGGACAUUCCUCUUACUUUUCUUUAUCUUGUAUUUAAUCUUGGACUCAAGAAUCAAACAGUAUUAAUUUAUCUUACUAAUAUUUGGGGAGCAAGAGUCUUUUAAGCACCUGUGAAAGCUGUCCUAAGUGCACUCACAAAUGUUUUACAUUUAUGUCAAAUGUGGUGGAAGACAAAUUUGGCUUUCUUAUUAUUUUUUUGCCAAAAAGAUUUCUCAGAGGUCAUAAAAUCCUAUUUUUGGUGUGGAAUGUGACCAUAAGCAACACAGCAUAUCAUGGGGGUAUAGAAGACAGAGAAUUUAGUGAAAAGAUAACAAAAUAUAGCCAGUUUUCUGAAUGCUUUUAGUUAUACUACUGGCCUUGGACUACUAUGCUCAAUCUCAAGGUUGUCGUGGACAUCUGCUAAUAAGUCUCCUUUGCCAAACAACAUUAAUUUGACCCUCAAAAUGCAUAGCCCUAGCGAACUAAUGAGGAACAGAAUCCUGAAUGUUUAUCAAAGGGGACUCUCUUCCAUUCCAUCCACCUCUUGCAUACUUUCAAAGAAUUAAUCUAUUUUAACAAGGGACCCUCUCCCUAUUCUAUGGCCUCAAUUCAAUCCCUAAAACAGGGGAUUAAAUCCAACAUUCUGCCAGUUGAAAUUAAAGUGGUUUUACUUGUUGUUUUUCAAGCUACUCUGAGUGUUAAUUGGGGUAAAAUCUGCAGCUCCCGGAUUACCAUUCACAUUUCUAUUAACAGAGAAGGAAAACUGCCUGAAGUACAACAAUUACUAAGAAAGUCCAUUAACCCUUUCUCAAUGUAAUAAGCAGAUAUCACACAGGCAAUUUAAAAUGUUUUCAUUACUCCACAUGCAAUAAUAAAGUUG